CAGCCGCCGCGGUAACACGUAGGGUGCAAGCGUUAUCCGGAAUUAUUGGGCGUAAAGAGCUCGUAGGCGGUUUGUCGCGUCUGCUGUGAAAACUGGGGGCUCAACCCCCAGCCUGCAGUGGGUACGGGCAGACUAGAGUGCGGUAGGGGAGAUUGGAAUUCCUGGUGUAGCGGUGGAAUGCGCAGAUAUCAGGAGGAACACCGAUGGCGAAGGCAGAUCUCUGGGCCGUAACUGACGCUGAGGAGCGAAAGCAUGGGGAGCGAACAGGAUUAGAUACCCCUGUAGUCCCUGUCUCUUAUAC
rnacentral:rRNA from 1 species